CUCAGUUCCUUGUCAGAAGGUUAGCAGCCUGUUGCCAAUAAUGCAGGGGAUAAAAGAAAAGCUCAAACUUCUGUGCUUGAUGUCAAAGACUUGGAUUUAAUGGGAAGAGUUACUUUUUCCUUGGCUUAAAGGAAGAAGACACAAGCUCAGAGUGCAAUGGCGCAAUCUCAGGUCACUGCAACCUCCAUCUCCCGGGUUCAAGCGAUUCUUCUGCCUCAGCCUCCCAGAUAUUUUUCAGACCUCACAUUCUGAUGCACCAGCUUCUCCUGGCCCCAGACCAGUUGAGUAAUCUGGCUCAACCAGUUCUUCAAUCCCCCCCAGGGACAGAAGGCCACAUGAAGAACCUGCUUCAACUCCCUGUGAUUUAAUCUCCAGUCCAAGUAAUCAGCAUUCCCCACUCCCUAACCUUCUGCCCACCAAAUUAUCCUUAAAAUACCCUAGUCGCUGAAUCUUUUUCGGGUAAACUGAUUUGAGUAGCAAAAUUCUGGUCUCCUAUUUAGCCAGCUCUGUGUGCAUUAAACAUUUUCUCUGUUGCAAUUUCCCUGUCUUGAUAUCGGCUCUAUCUGGGCAGCAGGCAAGAAGAAAUCACUGGGCAGUUACAUAAAACCCUAGCUUUCAUAUGACUGAAAGUCUGCAGAAUACCAAAGAUAACUGAAUGUAAUUUUUAUUGCAUACAUCUGGGUGUUUUGUUAAUCAGCUAGCAAAGUUUAAAUGAGUAAUAAAGACAGGUAUAACUAAUAAAUUAUUAUACUUAUCCCCACCUCCAAUUUUUUGCUUAAUUUAUUUCAGCCAAAACGGUAACAUUGCUGUUAUAAUCAAGGUUUUUCCAAAUAAUUUGGUAUUAUUAACAGUAACUAUCU
rnacentral:lncRNA from 1 species